rnacentral:rRNA from 1 species
AGAGUUUGAUCCUGGCUCAGAACGAACGCUGGCGGCGCGUCUUAACCAUGCAAGUCGAGCGGCAGGCAGCAAUGCCGAGAGCGGCGGACUGGUGAGUAACACGUGGAUAACGUACCCCGAUGCCCGGGACAGCCUGUAGAAAUAGAGGGUGAUACCGGAUAGAUCACUGUAUACGGAAGGUAGACAGCGGGAAAGGAGCUUCGGCUCCGCGACGGGAUCGGUCUGCGGCCCAUCAGCUGGACGGCGGGGUAAUGGCCCGCCGUGGCGAGGACGGGUAUCCGGCCUGAGAGGGCGGACGGACACAUUGGGACUGAGAUACGGCCCAGACUCCUACGGGAGGCAGCAGGUAAGAAUAUUCCGCAAUGGGGGGAACCCUGACGGAGCGACGCCGCGUGAACGAAGAAGGCCGGAAGGUUGUAAAGUUCUUUUCUGUCCGAGGAAUAAGUGUUGGAGGAAAUGCCGACAUGGUGACGGUAGGGCAGGAAUAAGCACCGGCUAAUUACGUGCCAGCAGCCGCGGUAACACGUAAGGUGCGAGCGUUGUUCGGAAUUAUUGGGCGUAAAGGGCAUGCAGGCGGGUCGCCAAGCUUGGUAAGAAAUACCGGGGCUCAACUCCGGAGCUAUAUUGAGAACUGGCGAGCUAGAGUUGCCGAAGGGUAUCCGGAAUUCCGUGUGAAGGGGUGAAAUCUGUAGAUAUGCGGAAGAACACCGAUGGCGAAGGCAGGAUACCGGCGGACGACUGACGCUGAGGUGCGAAGGUGCGGGGAGCAAACAGGAUUAGAUACCCUGGUAGUCCGCACAGUCAACGAUGUACACUGGGCGUGUGCGCAAGAGCGUGCGUGCCGAAGCAAACGCGAUAAGUGUACCGCCUGGGGAGUAUGCCCGCAAGGGUGAAACUCAAAGGAAUUGACGGGGGCCCGCACAAGCGGUGGAGCAUGUGGUUUAAUUCGAUGAUACGCGAGGAACCUUACCAAGGUUUAAAU